CGCUGGCGGCAUGCUUUACACAUGCAAGUCGAACGGCAGCACGGGUGCUUGCACCUGGUGGCGAGUGGCGGACGGGUGAGUAAUACAUCGGAACGUAUCCUAAAGUGGGGGAUAACGCAUCGAAAGAUGUGCUAAUACCGCAUACACUCUGAGGAGGAAAGUAGGGGAUCGAAAGACCUUAUGCUUUUGGAGCGGCCGAUGUCUGAUUAGCUAGUUGGUAAGGUAAUGGCUUACCAAGGCAACGAUCAGUAGUUGGUCUGAGAGGACGACCAGCCACGCUGGGACUGAGACACGGCCCAGACUCCUACGGGAGGCAGCAGUGGGGAAUUUUGGACAAUGGGCGCAAGCCUGAUCCAGCAAUGCCGCGUGAGUGAAGAAGGCCUUCGGGUUGUAAAGCUCUUUCAGUUGGGAAGAAAAGAUUGUGACUAAUAAUUGCAAUUCAUGACGGUAUCAACAGAAGAAGCACCGGCUAACUACGUGCCAGCAGCCGCGGUAAUACGUAGGGUGCGAGCGUUAAUCGGAAUUACUGGGCGUAAAGGGUGCGCAGGCGGUUCUGUAAGUCAGAUGUGAAAUCCCCGGGCUUAACCUGGGAACUGCGUUUGAAACUACAGAGCUAGAGUGUGGCAGAGGGGGGUGGAAUUCCAUGUGUAGCAGUGAAAUGCGUAG
rnacentral:rRNA from 1 species